GCCUAAGCUAUGUCUUGGUGGCCAAUAGGAUGGCUGUGUAUCUCCCACAUGACUCGCUGCCUCUGUCUUUCACAUGGGCUGUAAUUUAGUUCAAUUCAGAACUGCAGAUAGUACAGCUUUCACAGGAGCAAGGAUGCCUGAGCACAAGUGGCUGAGUUCCGAGUGACUUUAUGAAGCACUUUCCUACCUCCCUCUGUCAUGAAAACGGGGAUUCUGCACCUGCGUCAGGGACAGUCUGGCAAAAGCCUCUGCUAUGCCUCCGGGGACAAGGAACUAGCACAAAUAACCAUUUUGAAAUUGGAUCUUGGCAAAAUUAGCAACAAAUCCAUAAAGGAAACUGAAAGCAAUUGGAUCUCCAUCUUCAGUCGCAGUCCCACAAAAGUUGGAGAAAUACGUUGUCUCCAAAGAGGAUACAGCUGUACCCUAAAAUUAGGACAUAAUUAAGAAAGACACAGAAUCUGAAGAAGGCUCCGGGCACCGAGCUGCCAGCACAGACCCCAAUGCAGGGCUCGAACCCAUGAACCAUGAGAUCAUGACCUGCAUCGAAGUUGGACGCAUAACCGACUCAGACACCCAGGCUCCCUGAUAAAAAGUUUUUACUUAUUAUAAAACAUAAA